rnacentral:rRNA from 1 species
AUGUUUACUUCUGAAGAUAUCCCCAAUGAUCCUCCUUUGCAAGACGACGUUAUUCCCGAAGAAGGGCUUGUUAAUACUCCAGCCUCUGCCGAUCCGCCUACCAGCUCCAUCCAGAUAGAGAAAUCCCACACUCCUGCUGACCAAACGGCCGCACCAACACAAACUGGCGAGUCCAAAGAUGAUGAUGUUGUGAUUACCGGUGUGGGCCGCUCUGAACCCGGAAAUCCUAACACCCUUACCAAGCAUACCAUCAAGGAGGAUUUUUCCGCUUUGAACAAAGGAAAAUGGGAUGUUGAACUAGAGACAUAUGCCGCUCUGAGUGCCCAAGAUCUUUACUCCGGUUAUUUAAACCGGCUUUACACUAGCCGUGACUGCGACGCUGGCCUGGUCAAAAUGAUGAAGGAUAAAUUUGAGGCUGAGGUGAAAAUCAAGGAGGACCGAGUUGCCGAUUUACAGGAGGCCUUGAAAACCCAGCAGGCUGAAACAGAUAAGGCAAAGCAAGAAUUAACCAGCGCUUUGAGCACUGCUGAACGGCUGAAAGAAAGCUUCAAGAAAGAGCGGGCUGACUGGGCCACUGAGAAGGCCAGUUUAACCAAAAGAGCGGAAAAUGGUGAAGCGGCCCUUAAACCGGUGGUGGAUGAACUGACGGCCGUACAGCGGCAAAUACACUCCAUGACUGCUGCAAUCUUUGGCACACGUAUUGGGCACUUAGGAAAUGAUGUGCGGAAGAAAUUGAAAGCUGACUACACCUUGGUGGAACAAAUGUAUACCGGAGCCCAACGGAUCAUCACCUCAGCUUCUCACAACAACCCGGUGCCCUCUUUAAUCCAGGACACUCUUAGCAGGUUGUCAAUGCUUCCAGCCCGGAUUGAGGAGCUGAAAAAAUCCGCUGCCCGAACCGGAGCCAUCAAUGCCUUAAUCCGGGCAAAGGCAUGGGUGCCCGACUUUGAUCCUGUAGAAGCAGCUCAAGGCUAUCCCAGUCUAAAAGAAGAUGGCUCUAAAUUCAACGAAGAAGAUUUAAGGGCCAUAAACCGUGCAGUGCGCCCGCUGGCUUGCCAGCUAGCUGAAGAGGCAGAUUUGACGCAUUAUCAAGCGCAAUAUAAUAAUCAAAAUAAGCGAGUGCCUGCCCCAACUGUUGAAGCGGAGAAUCUGAUUCCUCCAAUCCGUAAGCACACUUACGCCCCUGAUAUUGAACCGUCUUCCCUGAUCCAUGAAGAGGCUGUUUUCCAAGCUUUAAUGGGAAUCGACUGGACCACUGUUGAUUUCCAGCCAAUGGGUAGAGACGAGGAAGCUGAAGCGGCGGAGGAUGAGGAGCAGGCUUGA